GUCNANCCUGCCCACUGAAAAUUUAAAUGGCCGCAGUAUUUUAACUGUGCAAAGGUAGCAUAANCAUUAGUCUUUUAAUUGAAGGCUGGUAUGAAUGGUUGAAUGAGAUAUUAACUGUUUCAAUAUAAUUUUUAGAAAUUUAUAUUUUAGUGAAAAAGCUAAAAUAAUUUUAAAAGACGAGAAGACCCUAUAAAUCUUUAUAAAUUUAUAUUUAUAGAUAUAUUGAUAAUUUAAUUUAUAAGUUAAAAAUUUAUUUUAUUGGGGUGAUAUUAAAAUUUUAUAAACUUUUAAUGUAUAAUUGACACUAAUUAGUGAAUUUUAUGAUCCGUAAUUAAUGAUUAAAAAAUUAAGUUACUUUAGGGAUAACAGCGUAAUUUUUUUGGAGAGUUCUUAUUAAUAGAAAAGAUUGCGACCUCGAUGUUGGAUUAAGAUAUAAAUUUAGGUGUAGUGGCUUAAAUUUA
rnacentral:rRNA from 1 species